UACAGAGGGGGCAAGCGUUAUUCGGAAUUAUUGGGCGUAAAGGGCGCGUAGGCGGCCGGACAAGUGGAAGGUGAAAUCCCCGAGCUCAACUCGGGAACUGCCCUCCAAACUGUUUGGCUUGAGUCCGGGAGAGGUGAGUGGAAUUCCCAGUGUAGCGGUGAAAUGCGUAGAUAUUGGGAGGAACACCGGUGGCGAAGGCGCACAUCUGGCCCGAUACUGACGCUGAGGCGCGAAAGCUAGGGGAGCAAACGGG
rnacentral:rRNA from 1 species